rnacentral:rRNA from 1 species
GACGAACGCUGGCGGCGUGCCUAAUACAUGCAAGUCGAACGGCGCGGCGGACGGGUGAGUAAUGCCUAGGAAUCUGCCUGGUAGUGGGCGAUAACGUCCGGAAACGGGCGCUAAUACCGCAUACUAUCAGAUGAGCCUAGGUCGGAUUAGCUAGUUGGUGGGGGAAAGGCCUAACAAGGCGACGAUCCGUAACCGGUCUGAGAGGAUGAUCAGUCACACGGGAACUGAGACACGGUCCAGACUCCUACGGGAGGCAGCAGUGGGGAAUAUUGGGCAAUGGGCGAAAGCCUGAUCCAGCCAUGCCGCGUGUGUGAAGAAGGUCUUCGGAUUGUAAAGCACUGUAAGUUGGGAGGCGUUACCAACAGAAUAAGCAACGGCUAACUUCGUGCCAGCAGCCGCGGUAAUAC